rnacentral:ncRNA from 5 species
CUCGGACCAGGCUUCAUUCCC